UGACAUCACCUCCGCGAGAUGACAGGGCACACAUGACCUCGGAACCCUGGUCCCCAGGCAGUUGGUUCUGAACCAAAUCUGACCCAGCUCACUUGCCUGGUGGGCCUGGACCCGGCACCAUGUUUUCUUGCUGUUUGCCCAGGUCUCCCUGCAGUGGACCCAAAAAAUUUCCCUGAAACUCGUGUCGCACUCUGCUGAAAGGCAUGAGGAGCCUGUGUCGACGUCUCUGGCCAGCACCAGCACUGCCCCUGAGGAAACUAGGGGGGCCCUCGGGACAGAGGGUGUUCUGUGUCCAGGAAGGUGAAGAGAUCCAGAGAGUGCAAUUCCCCGACUGUCCUCCCACAGCCCAGUGUGGGAUCUGUCCCAGCACAGAGCCCAGGUUGAAGUGCACCCGCAAUUUGAGAUUGGGGCACAUGUCCAAAGGAACUGGCUGGAGUACACAAAGCCCCUGGAGGAGCUGUCCGAGGCCCCUUCUCAAGGAGCACAGCCAGGCUCCCCUGCUGCCCAUGGGACAGGCCAGGAGACCAGCCAAGUUGCUGAUUGGAGACAAGCAGACACUAGGGGUCCGGAAGGGCCAG